GUAUUUUUUCGUGUGAAUCAGGAGAGGACAAAAGAGGGUUAAAAUCUGUAUUAAUGUGCUCACUAGACAAGAAAAGCAAACUUUUAUUCUAUAAGUGUUUAGUUUUUGAUAUCUUUAACUUUUGAUAUUUUACUAAGCUUAAUUAUUUGUUCAUUAACUUAAUAAUGUUAUUUAAUAGAAUCAGUGUUAUUCAUAAUUUCAUAAAUACUUUUUCAACACCCUAUGUACCAAGCACGGUUGUAGGAGUUGUAAGUACAACAGUAAAUAGGAUAUAUGGGAAAGAUAUAUAAGAAAGAUAUAUAAAUAAGAUAUCUCUUCCCUUAUAGGUCUUUCAGUCUAGUGAGGAUAUGAAGUGGCAAGUAAAAUGUAGUCAGCAGAGUAUUAUAUCAUCGAUAAGUACAGAGUUCAUGGAAGCAAAUGGACAGGACUUUGCAUCUGUUUGGUGGGAAUUGAUAUAGAGACUGAGAAUUAGGGUUGAGCAUAGAGUUCUUAAGACAAAAGUGAUGGGUGAAAAGAAGAGGUGACAGUCCUCAGAACCACAGAGUGUUUACAUCUGUGUGCUCUCUCCUUUAGAAACCCUGGGCCUGCUGCGGAAGCAGCUCUCAUGAGGGAAGUUGCUGCAUGGACUUUCAGGCCACUGAGUGACUCUUCUUGCAAAGAAAUGACCCCAAAUGUUUGAACCUUUGAACAUGUGCUCAGGGAAGCUAUUGAUCUAUAUAUAGAUCCUGCAUAUAACCUAUGCAUUCUUUAAAAUUCAAUCCAAGCAGCAGCCCUACUUGAACGCUUCCUGAAAGAUCAUUCUUUCACCCUCCACCUCCCUGUACAGAUUAAGAUCUGAAGGUUUGUUCUCCAGGCCUGGGAACAUUUCUGUACCCUGCAGCCUGAAAACCCACUGUACCUUUUCUUAACUGACUUCCUGGUUGAUUUCCUCUUAACAAUAGUAGCUGAAUCUGAAUCCCAGGAACCUCACACAUAGUAAACACUCAAGAAAAAUCUGCUAAACAGUGUUAGUCUUUCACAGUCAUUCUGGGUCAGCAGCCAAAAGAUUCUGUGUCCGAGGCCAGGUUCCUUCUGUUGGCUCCAUUCUAAGCUCAGCAUGCCAUGACUCACUGUUUCCUAGACAAUGUCAUUUGUUGUCAUGGCUAUGAAGCCCCGUCCACUUGUGGACUUUCCCAAGGACUUCAGAAUCUCCCUUUAAAAUCCCUUUCUCCAAGCAUUUCCAUCACAGAGGCCUCAAGAUCAAAGGAGUUAUAGAAUAUUGUUACCCUGAGGAUAAAUCAGCUAUUGCCAAACAUUUCCCACAUGAACUUUGCUUUCAGCAUCUACAAAAGAGAAAACGAUAUGUGGUUUACUUUAUAAACUUGGUGAAAUAAAACCUAACAAGCUAAUUUUAAUGUAGCAGACAUGAGUGUCAUUUAAGUGGAGAACCAGAAAGAUAGAACGGUAUCUAUAUGCCUAGUGCAAACUACCACUUUAGUGUCAAGGAAAGAAAAAUCUCUUUGAACCAAAGCCAAGGAAAACUUUUCAUAAAAUCAUGUAGGUCUGUUUCAUCGUUUUGGCCAUACAAGAGCAUCUUCUUUCAUUUGUUACUGUUACUAGUCACUAGGGUCACAGUUGCUAACCUAAAAAUAAGGAUGAACACUUUUAGAUAAUUUAAAAAACAAUGCCAAUCAGAUAAAUCAAGACAUAACCACAAUCAUAGGUUAACACACACUAAAGGGCAAUGCCAUUAAAGGAGAAGAGGAACUUUGGAAACUGCUGUCUGAAAGGAAAGCAAAGCACUCUUCAUUAACAGCUAGUGGGCUCCUAAUUUCUGCCCAUGAAGGCAUGUUCAUACUGACAGAGCACCCCCUCAAGGGGAAGAACCAUCCGCGCUAAUUCUUGUUGUCCUCUUCUGAGCUAGUGUGCUCAUUGUUCAUACAAACUAGUGUGUCAACAUUAAAACAAAAAGGGAGUUGAAUCA
rnacentral:lncRNA from 1 species